rnacentral:rRNA from 1 species
UACGUAGGGGGCAAGCGUUGUCCGGAAUCAUUGGGCGUAAAGAGCGUGUAGGCGGUUCGGUAAGUCGGCUGUGAAAGUCCAGGGCUCAACCCUGGGAUGCCGGUCGAUACUGCCGGACUAGAGUUCGGAAGAGGCGAGUGGAAUUCCCGGUGUAGCGGUGAAAUGCGCAGAUAUCGGGAGGAACACCAGUGGCGAAGGCGACUUCCUGGCCUGUUCUUGACGCUGAGGCGCGAAAGCUAGGGGAGCAAACGGG